UUCUUCACUAGCCACUAUUUCCUCAAAAAGGACGAUCUUGCAAAUACCAAAGGGAAGCAAAAAGAGAAGAAGUUGCAGGUACAAGUUCUUGAUGUGCAUGGGAAUCAUAAGCAUCCGGAUGGGAGUUUUAGUACACGCGUACUUUAUUAUUUAAGUUAUUUGAAUUUUAUGUUUGACUCUACUUGACCAAUGGGGUCAAGGUUUGACUUUUGAAGAUAGGACUAGUAUGGGAUAGUCUCCGAGUUUGUAACUCAUUUACAUACUUCUUACUUCAGUUGUAUUAAAGUAUUUUCAGUUUAUUUUAAAAGACUUCCGUUGUAUUCUCUGAUUAGCCUUACGCAUUGUCAUGCGUGGCAUAACAACUCCCGCAAUUUCUCCUAGUUUAUAUAAGGAGGAGUCGUGGGGGUGUUACAAAUUUAGUAUGCACCGGGUUGGUAAUUGAUAUUAA